rnacentral:rRNA from 1 species
GUCCAGACUCCUACGGGAGGCAGCAGUGGGGAAUAUUGCACAAUGGGGGAAACCCUGAUGCAGCAACGCCGCGUGAGUGAAGAAGUAUUUCGGUAUGUAAAGCUCUAUCAGCAGGGAAGAAAAUGACGGUACCUGAGUAAGAAGCCCCGGCUAACUACGUGCCAGCAGCCGCGGUAAUACGUAGGGGGCAAGCGUUAUCCGGAUUUACUGGGUGUAAAGGGAGCGUAGACGGCGAUGCAAGUCUGAAGUGAAAGCCCGCGGCUCAACUGCGGGACUGCUUUGGAAACUGUGCAUCUUGAGUACGGGAGGGGCAGGCGGAAUUCCUGGUGUAGCGGUGAAAUGCGUAGAUAUCAGGAGGAUCACCGGCGGCGAAGGCGGCCUGCUGGACCGAAACUGACGUUGAGGCUCGAAAGCGUGGGGAGCAAACAGGAUUAGAUACCCUCGUACU